rnacentral:lncRNA from 1 species
UCCGCUCCAGUGGAGUAGGCUGGGUUUUGGAGAAGUGGAUCAGCUCUCCCCAGAGCAGGCUGUUAGAAAAUGAAGCCGCCCUACAUGCUUGGCCUCUUCCACAUGUGGCUGGUUCCUUUUCUGCUCUUUUGCCAUCUUGUGACUCGGGACUCUCACCAGGAUGCCGGUGCCAUGCUGUUCAGAUCUUCCACCCACCAGAGUCAUGAGAAAAUGUUGGGGAGAGAACUGAGGGCCUUGUGCAGGCUGGGCAAGCAGCUCCACCACUCAAGCCCAGACCUGGCCCAAACCAGGGAAUUAAAAUGAGAUCAUCCUGG